rnacentral:lncRNA from 10 species
GUGGUUUAUGGCAAGAACUGUCUGGAAUUAGCUUGGAAACCUCCCACUUCCUCUUCCCUCACAUUGGAUCCAUCAGUAAUCCCUACCUGUUCUUCCUCCUAAAAUAUUUUAGAUCUUUCCACUCUUCACCUUUCCUUUGGGACACCCUUGGCUAAGUACAUCUGCUCUGGCCUGUGUCAAUGUUCUCCACCAGGGACACACCUGUGGUUGAACAAGUUGGGUUUAUUGCUUCUUGCAAUGAGGGAGAAAACACACCAUGAGGUAACUGUGAGGUGUCUAAGUAAAAGGGUGUUAGAAAGGAUUGAUUUUUUUUUUUUUUGAGUCAAAGUCUUGCUCUGUCACCCAGGUUGGAGGGCAGUGGCGCAAAUCUCGGCUCACUGCAACCUCUGCCUCCUAGGUUCAGCGAUUCUCCUGCCUCAGCCCCUACUCCCCAGGAACUGGGAUUACAGAAUAACAUACGUCCAGUGACAGGCCUGAGUCAGUGAUUCUCAACGUAUCUGUACACACAUGCAGCUGUCACCUAGAUGAAGAUCGUGGGGGCUCCUCCCUGUUGCUCCUUCUGGGGCCAUGCCCUCCCAAAGGUAACAUGUGUUCUGAUUUCUAUCACCACUGGUUAGUUUUGUCUGUUCUGAAACUUCAUAUAUAUUCAGUUACACAGUAUGUUUUGUUUGUUUGUUUAAGGCUUUCUAAACUCAACACCAAGUUUUUUCUUUUUUUAAAAUAAAAUGAGAUGGGAUCUCACUAUGUUGCACAGCCUGGUCUCAAAACCCCUGGGUUCAAGUGAUCCUCCCACCUUGGUGUCUCAAAGUGCUGGGAUUACAGGUGUGAGCCACUGUGCCUGGCCCCAACACAAAGUUUUUGAGAUAUGUUGCUGCAUAUAUCAGGUGUUGGAUCUUUUCUAUUGCUGUGUAGUAUUCCAUUGGCCGAACCAACCACUCUCUUUUGCCAUUCACUUCUUUUUCUUUUUCCUUUUUUAAAAUCAUAUAUCCUACUCUCAGAUCCAUUUACUUUUUUUUAAUUUUUAAAUUUUUAAAUUUUUUUUUUUGAGACAGGGUCUCACUCUG